UACCUCAAAAUUCCGCAACAGUCUGUUUCAUCAGUAAACCGCCUCAUGAUUCUUUACUGAUGAAACAGACUGUUGCGGGAUUU